rnacentral:rRNA from 1 species
AAUCCAUAGGUUAAUGAGGCGAACCGGGGGAACUGAAACAUCUAAGUACCCCGAGGAAAAGAAAUCAACCGAGAUUCCCCCAGUAGCGGCGAGCGAACGGGGAGGAGCCCAGAGCCUGAAUCAGCAUGUGUGUUAGUGGAAGCGUCUGGAAAGGCGCGCGAUACAGGGUGACAGCCCCGUACACAAAAGCGCAUGUGCUGUGAGCUCGAUGAGUAGGGCGGGACACGUGGUAUCCUGUCUGAAUAUGGGGGGACCAUCCUCCAAGGCUAAAUACUCCUGACUGACCGAUAGUGAACCAGUACCGUGAGGGAAAGGCGAAAAGAACCCCGGCGAGGGGAGUGAAAAAGAACCUGAAACCGUGUACGUACAAGCAGUGGGAGCACCCUUUGGGUGUGACUGCGUACCUUUUGUAUAAUGGGUCAGCGACUUAUAUUCUGUAGCAAGGUUAACCGAAUAGGGGAGCCGGAGGGAAACCGAGUCUUAACCGGGCGUUAAGUUGCAGGGUAUAGACCCGAAACCCGGUGAUCUAGCCAUGGGCAGGUUGAAGGUUGGGUAACACUAACUGGAGGACCGAACCGACUAAUGUUGAAAAAUUAGCGGAUGACCUGUGGCUGGGGGUGAAAGGCCAAUCAAACCGGGAGAUAGCUGGUUCUCCCCGAAAGCUAUUUAGGUAGCGCCUCGUGAAUUCAUCUCCGGGGGUAGAGCACUGUUUCGGCUAGGGGGCCAUCCCGGCUUACCAACCCGAUGCAAACUGCGAAUACCGGAGAAUGUUAUCACGGGAGACACACGGCGGGUGCUAACGUCCGUCGUGAAGAGGGAAACAACCCAGACCGCCAGCUAAGGUCCCAAAGUCAUGGUUAAGUGGGAAACGAUGUGGGAAGGCCCAGACAGCCAGGAUGUUGGCUUAGAAGCAGCCAUCAUUUAAAGAAAGCGUAAUAGCUCACUGGUCGAGUCGGCCUGCGCGGAAGAUGUAACGGGGCUAAACCAUGCACCGAAGCUGCGGCAGCGACACUGUGUGUUGUUGGGUAGGGGAGCGUUCUGUAAGCCUGUGAAGGUGUGUCGUGAGGCAUGCUGGAGGUAUCAGAAGUGCGAAUGCUGACAUAAGUAACGAUAAAGCGGGUGAAAAGCCCGCUCGCCGGAAGACCAAGGGUUCCUGUCCAACGUUAAUCGGGGCAGGGUGAGUCGACCCCUAAGGCGAGGCCGAAAGGCGUAGUCGAUGGGAAACGGGUUAAUAUUCCCGUACUUGGUGUUACUGCGAAGGGG